rnacentral:rRNA from 1 species
GAUCAACGCUGGCGGCGUGCUUAACACAUGCAAGUCGAACGAAGUUUUUCCUUCGGGAGAAACUUAGUGGCGGACGGGUGAGUAACGCGUGGGUAACCUGCCCUGUACAGGGGGACAACAGCUGGAAACGGCUGCUAAUACCGCAUAAGCACUUAGCACUGCAUGGUGCAUAGGGAAAAGGAGCAAUCCGGUACAGGAUGGACCCGCGUCUGAUUAGCCAGUUGGCAGGGUAACGGCCUACCAAAGCGACGAUCAGUAGCCGAUCUGAGAGGAUGUACGGACACAUUGGGACUGAGACACGGCCCAGACUCCUACGGGAGGCAGCAGUGGGGAAUAUUGCACAAUGGAGGAAACUCUGAUGCAGCGACGCCGCGUGAGUGAAGAAGUAUUUCGGUAUGUAAAGCUCUAUCAGCAGGGAAGAAAAUGACGGUACCUGACUAAGAAGCACCGGCUAAAUACGUG